rnacentral:rRNA from 1 species
GGGGAUUCCCCUGGUUAGACUGUUGACUGAAGCGGGAAAAGCUCAAAUUUAAAAUCUGGCGGUCUCUGGCCGUCCGAGUUGUAAUCUAGAGAAGUGAUGCCCGCGCUGGACCGUGUACAAGUCUCCUGGAAUGGAGCGUCAUAGAGGGUGAGAAUCCCGUCUCUGACACGGACUACCAGGGCUUUGUGGUAUACUCUCAAAGAGUCGAGUUGUUUGGGAAUGCAGCUCUAAAUGGGUGGUAAAUUCCAUCUAAAGCUAAAUAUUGGCGAGAGACCGAUAGCGAACAAGUACCGUGAGGGAAAGAUGAAAAGAACUUUGGAAAGAGAGUUAAACAGUACGUGAAAUUGCUGAAAGGGAAACGCUUGAAGUCAGUCGCGUUGGCCGGGGAUCAGCCUCGCUUUUGCGUGGUGUACUUUCUGGUUGACGGGUCAGCAUCAAUUUUGACCGCUGGAAAAAGGUCGAGGGAAUGUGGCAGCUCCGGCUGUGUUAUAGCCCUUGGUCAUAUACAACGGUUGGGAUUGAGGAACUCAGCACGCCGCAAGGCCGGGUUUCGACCACGUUCGUGCUUAGGAUGCUGGCAUAAUGGCUUUAAGCGACCCGUCUUGAAACACGGACCAAGGAGUCUAACAUGCCUGCGAGUGUUUGGGUGGAAAACCCGAGCGCGUAAUGAAAGUGAAAGUUGAGAUCCCUGUCGUGGGGAGCAUCGACGCCCGGACCUGAACUUUUGUGACGGACCCGCGGUAGAGCAUGUAUGUUGGGACCCGAAAGAUGGUGAACUAUGCCUGAAUAGGGUGAAGCCAGAGGAAACUCUGGUGGAGGCUCGUAGCGAUUCUGACGUGCAAAUCGAUCGUCAAAUUUGGGUAUAGGGGCGAAAGACUA